AGGGUAUCCGCAAGGGUAACCGGCAAAAUGCUUAGUAGCACGUCAGUAAUCUGCCCACAAGUCUGGGAUAGCCUUGGGAAACUGAGGGUAAACCCGGAUAAUGAAUAUCAUCUGGAAUGAGGUAUUCGUCAAAAGCAAUGCUUGUGGAUGAGCUGGCGGCUGAUUAGGUAGUUGGUAGGGUAAUGGCCUACCAAGCCAAUGAUCAGUAGGGGCCAUGAAAGUGGGAGCCCCAAGAAGGACACUGAGAUACUGGUCCUAGCCCCACGGGGUGCAGCAGGCGCGAAAACUUUACAAUGCACGAAAGUGUGAUAGGGGAACUCAGCGUGCUCAUGGAAACCAUGGGCUUUUCUCUAGAGUAAAUAUCUAGGGGAAUAAAGGAUGGGCAAGACCGGUGCCAGCAGCCGCGGUAACACCGGCGUCCUGAGUGGGAAUCAUUUAUUGGGUCUAAAGCGCUCGUAGUUGGCUUUGUAAAUUUCUUGUGAAAUCGUGUCGCUUAACGGCACGGCGUGCAGGAAACACUGCAAAGCUUGGGACUGGGAGGCGUCAGAAGUAUUCCUUAGGGAGCGGUAAAAUGUGAUAAUCUAAGGAGGACUACCUGUGGCGAAGGCGUCUGACGAGAACAGGUUCGACAAUCAGGAGCGAAGGCUAGGGGAGCAAACCGGAUUAGAUACCCGAGUAGUCCUAGCAGUAAACACUGUGUGCAAGGUGUUGCGUCUACAAUAGGUAGACGCAGUAUCGAAGCGAAGGCAAUAAGCACACCACCUGGGAAGUACGGUCGCAAGACUGAAACUUAAAGGAAUUGGCGGGGGAGCACUACAACGGGUGCGGCGUGCGGUUUAAUCCUUCAACAAGGAGAAUCUCACCAGAAGCGACGGCAGUAUGAAGGUCAAGCUGAAGACUUUACCUGACGAGCCGAGAGGUAGUGCAUGGCCGUCGUCAGCUCGUGCCGUAAGGUGUCCUGUUAAGUCAGGCAACGAGCGAGACCCACAUCUACAAUUGACAGCAGGUCCUCCGGGAUGACUGGUCACAUUGUAGAGACUGCCUGUGAAAACAGGAGGAGGGUGUGGGCAACGGUAGGUCUGUAUGCUCCGAAUCUUCUGGGCUACACGCGCGCAACAAUGGGUAAGACAAUGGGAUGCUACUCCGAAAGGAGACGCUAAGCCUCUAAACUUACUCCUAGUACAGAUUGAGGGUUGUAACUCACCCUCAUGACGAUGGAAUCCGUAGUAAUCAGAGUUUAUCAGACUCCGGUGAAUACGUCCCUGCUCCUUGCACACACCGCCCGUCAAACCAUUCGAGUAGAAUUUAAGUGAGCCGCAGUUUUUUGAUUGCGUCAAACUUAAGUUUUAUAAGACGGGUUAAGUCGUCACAAGGUA
rnacentral:rRNA from 1 species